rnacentral:rRNA from 1 species
AUGGCUCAGAUUGAACGCUGGCGGCAGGCCUAACACAUGCAAGUCGAGCGGAUGACGGGAGCUUGCUCCUUGAUUCAGCGGCGGACGGGUGAGUAAUGCCUAGGAAUCUGCCUGGUAGUGGGGGACAACGUUUCGAAAGGAACGCUAAUACCGCAUACGUCCUACGGGAGAAAGCAGGGGACCUUCGGGCCUUGCGCUAUCAGAUGAGCCUAGGUCGGAUUAGCUAGUUGGUGGGGUAAUGGCUCACCAAGGCGACGAUCCGUAACUGGUCUGAGAGGAUGAUCAGUCACACUGGAACUGAGACACGGUCCAGACUCCUACGGGAGGCAGCAGUGGGGAAUAUUGGACAAUGGGCGAAAGCCUGAUCCAGCCAUGCCGCGUGUGUGAAGAAGGUCUUCGGAUUGUAAAGCACUUUAAGUUGGGAGGAAGGGCAGUAAGRUAAUACCUUGCUGUUUUGACGUUACCGACAGAAUAAGCACCGGCUAACUCUGUGCCAGCAGCCGCGGUAAUACAGAGGGUGCAAGCGUUAAUCGGAAUUACUGGGCGUAAAGCGCGCGUAGGUGGUUUGUUAAGUUGGAUGUGAAAGCCCCGGGCUCAACCUGGGAACUGCAUCCAAAACUGGCAAGCUAGAGUACGGUAGAGGGUGGUGGAAUUUCCUGUGUAGCGGUGAAAUGCGUAGAUAUAGGAAGGAACACCAGUGGCGAAGGCGACCACCUGGACUGAUACUGACACUGAG